UACAGAGGGGGCAAGCGUUGUUCGGAAUUAUUGGGCGUAAAGAGCUCGUAGGCGGUUUGUCGCGUCGACUGUGAAAACUGGGGGCUUAACUCUCAGCUUGCAGUUGAUACGGGCAGACUUGAGUUCGGUAGGGGAGACUGGAAUUCCUGGUGUAGCGGUGAAAUGCGCAGAUAUCAGGAGGAACACCGGUGGCGAAGGCGGGUCUCUGGGCCGAUACUGACGCUGAGGAGCGAAAGCGUGGGGAGCGAACAGG
rnacentral:rRNA from 1 species